UACGAAGGGGGCUAGCGUUGUUCGGAAUCACUGGGCGUAAAGCGCACGCAGGCGGAUUGAUAAGUCAGGGGUGAAAUCCCGGAGCUCAACUUCGGAAUUGCCUUUGAUACUGUUAAUCUCGAGUCCGGGAGAGGUGAGUGGGAUUCCUAGUGUAGAGGUGAAAUUCGUAGAUAUUAGGAAGAACACCAGUGGCGAAGGCGGCUCACUGGCCCGGUACUGACGCUCAUGUGCGAAAGCGUGGGGAGCAAACAGG
rnacentral:rRNA from 1 species